UGCCAGCCGCCGCGGUAAUACGGAGGGAGCGAGCGUUAAUCGGAAUUACUGGGCGUAAAGCGCGCGUAGGCGGCUUUGUAAGCGAGGGAUGAAAUCCCAUGGCUCAACCGGGGAACUGCGGUGCAAACCACCAGUCUUGAGGUAUGUAGAGGCUGUCGGAACGUUCGGUGGAGCGGUGAAAUGCGUAGAUAUCGAGCGGAACGCCAAAGGUGAAGACAGGCAGCUGGGCAUUACCUGACGCUCAGGCACGAAAGCGUGGGGAUCACACAGGAUUAGAUA
rnacentral:rRNA from 1 species